rnacentral:rRNA from 1 species
UCGAGAAUCUUUAGCAAUGGGCGCAAGCCUGACUAUGCGACGCCGCGUGAGGGAUGAAGGUUUUCGGAUCGUAAACCUCUUUCGAUGGGGAAGAAACUUCCAACGUUAAUAGCGUUGGAACUGACGGUACCUAGAGAAGAAGCCACGGCCAACUCCGUGCCAGCAGCCGCGGUAAUACGGAGGUGGCGAGCGUUACUCGGAUUUAUUGGGCGUAAAGGGCAGGUAGGUGGUCUUGUAAGUGAGAGGUGAAAUCCUCCAACUUAAUUGGAGAAUGGCCUUUCAAACUGUGAGGCUUGAGACUGGAAGAGGAGAAUGGAAUUCCCGGUGUAAGGGUGAAAUCUGCAGAUAUCGGGAGGAACACCAGUGGCGAAAGCGAUUCUCCAGCCCAGUUCUGACACUGAUCUGCGAAAGCUAGGGGAGCAAACAGG